AUUGAACGCUGGCGGCAGGCCUAACACAUGCAAGUCGAGCGAACCCUUCGGGGUUAGCGGCGGACGGGUUAGUAACGCGUGGGAAUAUACCCUUUGGUACGGAAUAGCCUCGGGAAACUGAGAGUAAUACCGUAUGUGCCCUUCGGGGAAAGAUUUAUCGCCAAAGGAUUAGCCCGCGUUGGAUUAGAUAGUUGGUGGGGUAAUGGCCUACCAAGUCUACGAUCCAUAGCUGGUUUGAGAGGAUGAUCAGCAACACUGGGACUGAGACACGGCCCAGACUCCUACGGGAGGCAGCAGUGGGGAAUCUUAGACAAUGGGCGCAAGCCUGAUCUAGCCAUGCCGCGUGGACGAUGAAGGCCUUAGGGUUGUAAAGUCCUUUCAGAUGGGAAGAUAAUGACGGUACCAUCAGAAGAAGCCCCGGCUAACUCCGUG
rnacentral:rRNA from 1 species